rnacentral:rRNA from 1 species
UGGCGGCGUGCUUAACACAUGCAAGUCGAACGAUGAAGCCCACUUGUGGGUGGAUUAGUGGCGAACGGGUGAGUAACACGUGAGUAACCUGCCCUUGACUCUGGGAUAAGCCUGGGAAACUGGGUCUAAUACCGGAUAUGACUCCUCAUCGCAUGGUGGGGGGUGGAAAGCUUUUUGUGGUUUUGGAUGGACUCGCGGCCUAUCAGCUUGUUGGUGAGGUAAUGGCUUACCAAGGCGACGACGGGUAGCCGGCCUGAGAGGGUGACCGGCCACACUGGGACUGAGACACGGCCCAGACUCCUACGGGAGGCAGCAGUGGGGAAUAUUGCACAAUGGGCGCAAGCCUGAUGCAGCGACGCCGCGUGAGGGAUGACGGCCUUCGGGUUGUAAACCUCUUUCAGUAGGGAAGAAGCCUUUCGGGGUGACGGUACCUGCAGAAGAAGCGCCGGCUAACUACGUGCCAGCAGCCGCGGUAAUACGUAGGGCGCAAGCGUUAUCCGGAAUUAUUGGGCGUAAAGAGCUCGUAGGCGGUUUGUCGCGUCUGCCGUGAAAGUCCGGGGCUCAACUCCGGAUCUGCGGUGGGUACGGGCAGACUAGAGGUAGUAAGUGUACGC